GUGCUUGCUUCGGCAGCACAUGUACUAAAAUUAGAAUGAUAAGAGAAGAUUAGCAUGGCCCCUGCUCAAGGAUGACAUGCAAAUUUGUGAAGCAUUCCAUAUUUUU
ensembl:snRNA U6 U6 spliceosomal RNA